CGACUCGGGCGCACCCGCACUCCGGCCCGUGCUACGGGGUUUCGGGGUGCACAGCUGGAUUCUCUGCCCCGCCCCCUUUCUGGCCGAGUGCUUCCGCCUGGGGGCGCCCGCUCGGCGGUAAGGGGGGCCUGAGUCAGCGGCCUCGGUCCAGGAAAACAGGCUGGGGUCACCUGCCUGCAGUGGGGGGGCCCCAGCCAGCUGCCCUGGCGGCCCAGCCAACUACAUCCCUUAACGGUGACCUCAGAGGGCAUUUAUGGAGCGAUUCACCAGCGCCAGGCCUGCCUUGUGCAUCCAGUCACCGCCCGCUGGGCUUUGUGACCCCGUAGGGCACUGACCUUUGUGAGCCUCAGUUUCUGCAGGGUGGCAGUAGAAUGAAGUGAGAGAACACAGCAGACCUCACUCUGGAGCCUGGGGAUGUGGGGCCCUCACCUAGGCCUGGCAAUAUUGCCAUCAUCCCAUCAGGCAUGCUCACCUGCUGGUAUCCUGCCUUUGUGGUGGGCGUAAUCACCCUACCCAUUUUACAGAACAGAUGAGAAGCCAGUCCAGGAACUCGAAGACCUGGGCUCUAAGCCGGGAGACAAGGAGGGGAGGAGUGGGGCUGCACCUGUGACCCCACGGCUGUCCCAGCUUUAGCUGAGCUGGGGUUUCCUGAGGAAGUGGGGGCCGGCUGCUUGGACCUCACCUGCACAGAAGGAGCGAGUCCCAGACGGACACCGCCCAGAGCCGCAAGCUUGCCUGGAGACUCCCCAGACAUCGAGCCUCUGAGGCAGCUACAGGACAGUCCUUCGCAUAAGAUCGUGACACAAGACCACACAGCCCACCCGUGCCAAUGACAAGCCCGGGAGUGGCCGCUCCGUCACCUUCUGGCUGCCGGUGACACACAGAGAGGCCCAAGCUUUCCCACACACUCACCCCCAUGAAAUGCCCCACCAGCUCUGCUCUGACCCAGGGCCGGGGAGGGGGACAAGGAGGUGGCCAGUGCCUGGGUCACCCCCAUGGUUGCAAAAGUGAGUUACUGGCUGAAAGAAAUGGGACAGCCCUGAAGCUUCAAGGUGCCAGGACCGCCCCCGCCUGGCCACCCCACCCAUCUGGGGCCAGUCCAGGGGCCCGGGUGCCACGGAGGUGCCAACACCAUCAGGGAUCGGGCACCUGGCCAGCUGGGGCCACCCACAGGCCAGGCAGGCACAGGGCAGGGCCUCCGUUGGAGCAGGCAGGACCCACCCCCUCCCAGUGCAGCUGGGGCGGGGCCGGGGAGCCCACGGGACAGGCGUCACAGUCUGGAACCUGGCAGAGCCUCAUGUCUGUCCAGCAGCCCAGGCCCAGCCCAGAAGUGGCAGCCACGCUGCUGCCUGCCAUCCCCAGCCCUGGCUGGUGACCUUCGCCUGUGCCCACCCUCCCGGCGUGACAGCCAACAGCCUUCCCACAACCCAGUCUAGUUUUGCGAGCUGAGCCCGCACCGCCAACACCCCAAGCGGUUCAGACUACAGCCUGCUGAGCUGGGAAGGCUGAGGCUGGCUGCCCCACCUCGCUGCGCAGACACAGGACACUGGGGGAGAGGCCGCGCUGGGUCCCAAGCCCACCACCAAGCAGGAUAAAGUCAGCGUAUGCAAACUGGAUUCCAGGUGUUUAAUGAGGGUUCGGGCAGGGAGCAGGCUGUCCGUUGCCGGUGGCUGGGAGCAGAGGUCUCUGCGGCAGAUGCGGCAGAGGAGUGGUGGCCAGCACGUCAGGUUGGGGAGAUCUUAGGAAGUGGAAGAGCCUUCCGGGGUGAGAGUAAUCCCCACGGGUAGGGCAAGUGCCCGACCUUGACGCCAGCCCCCAGGCCUACCAGAGCUGGCUUGUUUCCCUGGUUUAUUCA